CUUGGGAUGAUAUAUAUGCAUGAAAAUACUAAUAUUAUUGGCUACAUUCAUAUAAACUUAUCAAGUCACAGAUGAUAGGACAAACAUCUUUAUGUUAAAAUUGCUAAAUUGUUUAAUAAUGUUUAUGGUUAAUUAUUUCAUGUAUGAAACAUCAAAUUUCCUUCUAGAAGACUACUCUGUGGGGAUCAGUCAUUACCAGUCAGUAAUCAAUCAUCAUUGUUUUGACAGAGAGCAAUAAAUGGUUACAGCAGAAAACUAGUUACAUUUAUGUGGCUAUCUUAACAAAGAUGAAUCACACAUGAUGAUAUCAGAUCAUCUCUUUUGUGCUGUCUUGUCAGUAGGCAUGUCAUAGGAUUCUAUCCAUUUUAUUUCCUUAGGAACAUAAAGAUACAGGAUUUAUCUUGUCGUUUAUAAAAAUCCUAAACUAAGUCUCAGAGAUGAAAAGAGCUUGCCAAAAGUGUCUCCACUAACCAGUCACAAGUCCAAGUCUUGGGUAAGGUUCUUGGGUCCAAUUAUCCACCUUGUCUUUUGGGAUUCCUGUUCCAUAGUACUGGCCAACACUCUAAUUCCUGACUGACAAAGACUGACCAAGGGAAUAAGAAGAAUUAUUGCUGAUUUAGAAUGUGAAUCUACUCCUAAGGAUAGUGAAAACAGAACGUGUUAUCUCCAAAAGGAAAGAAUACCAAAAACAUACCUCCAACUUUUGAUUUUGAAAGCAUCCAGAGGAGCCAAUUCUUCAAGGGAAAAUUGUCACUUUGAGAAUAUGGAUGAUUUAUCAGGUACAGAAUUUUUUGUUUCUUGCAGAAUGUCUGAUGAGGUGAGAUUCCUUUCUAACAACAUCUUACAGAUUAGUAUCAAAAGCCUGAACAAAACCAUUGAAAUCAAGGACAUUCCACUGGAAAGCAAUCAAUUGUUAUGGAAUAGAUAAUGUGUUUUCUUGCAAAGCAAGAGAAUAACUAUCUGGAUGUUAUUAAUCUUCCUUGAAAUAUUUUAAGAUUCCAAUGUGCUGUGCUAGACAAUUUUCUCUUUUCUUCUUUUUCAGGAAAC
rnacentral:lncRNA from 1 species